UCAAUCCCUAGGAGGAGGGUGAGCCACAAAGUUGUCAGACUGGUUGGCCCAGGAUGGAGAGAACAGGAAAUACAGGGUACAGAGGCCAAAGAACAAGGGCCAGACAGGGAGGGUCGUCCAGCCCUAAAGGGCUGCUGUCUGGCACCCCGACAACUUUGGCAACAGGAGCCAGUGGCAGGGUGGGCGGUGGGGGGCGCUGCAGGGAACCCAGGCCCCGGGCUUCGCUGUUUCGCGGGUGCUGAGGGGUGAUCCAGCAGCCGAGAGUAAGGAGCCGGGAGAUGCUAAAGAGGAGGACUCAGGUUUCUGGAAACAAGGAGAGCCACCACUCCUGAGGAACAAGAGUGGACAGUGAGGAGCUCAGGGCAGCGCGAGGACCAGGAGCAAGCCUCGGAACCCUGACAGACGGGCUCUCCUCGACCAGACUUAGCCAGGCUCUCUGGAGCCCUCCGCGAGGCCAGGCCUGACCCAGGGCUGCCAUCUCCGUCCUCGCACAGGCCAGCUGCCGCGAGACUCCUGCUGAGUCUGUUCAGCCCAGAAGCCCUCACCCUCCAUGCCUGAGCACCUCAGCUUCUAAGAACCCCGGGGUAACAGCGGAUCACCCUAGCCUGCCUUCCUGAGGCCUACAAGCUCAGCCCCAAGGUCUCAGAAAUGGAAGAGGAAGAGCAAGACCUACCUGUUACUGCUUCUAGAAAAGGUGGCUGCCCCUACCAGCCACACACAGGCCACCAGGACCCAGCAACAGAAAUCCAGGGUCAUCAUCCCAGUGCACAGCCCUCAGCACGGGGCUAGGAGCUGAACGUGUGCUUGGGGGGAAUCCACGGCCUGGGACUCACCACGAGUCCUUGGGCCCAUGAACAAAUAAAUGAAUGAGCAAAAGAAGACCCAAGGAACUCCCAUAACUUGCCCAGGGUCGGAAAGCAGGCUGCCUCCACAGACUACCUGGUAUCACCCUGACGCGCACUCUCGUUCACCCCACCGUGGCACCUCAAUUCACCUUCUGCCUCAACUGUGUUUCUUUAAUUUAUGAUCAACGUUUCCAGUGACACUCCAACCCAGGCCUCGAGAACAAGUCCCAGAGGAGGACACAAGGGCAGGCAGAUGGGAGGCAUUCCAGUGCUGUUCACCAAAUGUCCCCAGUCCUCUUCCUCGCCCCACACUGUACGUAUAACUAGGGCCACAUGGCUGCUUCGGCCAGCAAAAUGCCGCUUCUGGGCGGAAGCCUUAAGAACCAGGGGGAGACUGAUCACAUUCUCUGUCCCUCCAUCCAAGUGUCCAGGAAUAUUCCAAUUAAUCGGUAGGGGUUCACAGUGAGAACAACAGAAAGAUAUGCAAUGGAUCGGGUGUGAGCAGUAAAUAAACCUCCGAGAUUUGGGGACUGUCACCACAGCAGACCCUGAUCUAUCUAGACAGACAGAGGCCGUGACUCACUCCCCAAUCUUCUCUACACGGCAGUGCUGGGCUUCCCAUUCCCAGGCCCAUAGGAGACAAAAUCGAUGUCAACAAUUAUGCAACAGGGGUCAAGGGUGACUGCUAGGUGCCCAGACAGACGAGACGCUUUCAGAAGCAGGGGAUAAAAGGAUCCUGCGCUGCAGCACCUACCAGUUCCGCUGUGGACUGGCCAUGGGCAGCACACUGACCACCUUUCGAUUAGAAAUGACGAGAGCUGCUACCAUGGAGACCUUGAGCAAGUCACUCUGUGACCUCUCUAGAACAGUGUCCUCCUCCAUCAUAUGGGACAUAAAUGUUAUCUAUCAUACUGUGUCGGUUCAAAGGUUAAGUGAGUUAAUGCGAGUGAAGCUUCUAGGAUGGCACUUGGUGUACGCGUCCAUGAAGAGCAAGUCUCAAUAAACUCUUUGUU